CUGGCGGCGUGCCUAAUACAUGCAAGUCGAGCGGAACUUGAAAGCUUGCUUUCUAAGUUUAGCGGCGGACGGGUGAGUAACACGUGGGCAACCUACCUGUAGAUUGGGAUAACUCCGGGAAACCGGGGCUAAUACCGAAUAAUCCAUUUCGCUUCAUGGCGAGAUGUUGAAAGACGGUUUCGGCUGUCACUACAAGAUGGGCCCGCGGCGCAUUAGCUAGUUGGUAGGGUAAUGGCCUACCAAGGCGACGAUGCGUAGCCGACCUGAGAGGGUGAUCGGCCACACUGGGACUGAGACACGGCCCAGACUCCUACGGGAGGGCAGCAGUAGGGAAUCUUCCACAAUGGACGAAAGUCUGAUGGAGCAACGCCGCGUGAGUGAAGAAGGUUUUCGGAUCGUAAAACUCUGUUGUAAGGGAAGAACACGUACGAGAGUAACUGCUCGUACCUUGACGGGUACCUUAUUAGAAAGCCACGGCUAACUACGUG
rnacentral:rRNA from 1 species